UACGGAGGGUGCAAGCGUUGUUCGGAAUCACUGGGCGUAAAGCGCGUGUAGGCGGCCCGGUAAGUCCGCUGUGAAAGUCGGGGGCUCAACCCUCGAAAGCCGGUGGAUACUGUCGGGCUAGAGUACGGAAGAGGCGAGUGGAAUUCCUGGUGUAGCGGUGAAAUGCGCAGAUAUCAGGAGGAACACCCAUUGCGAAGGCAGCUCGCUGGGACGUUACUGACGCUGAGACGCGAAAGCGUGGGGAGCAAACAGG
rnacentral:rRNA from 1 species